GACCUAUUCGCGUCCUUCCUUGGCACGUGUCGGCUGGAUACGAAGCGGAGGAGGGGAAACACGGGUUUCCCUUUCAUUUUCGAUAUACAAUUGUUUCUCUUUUCCCUCGACGGCGACGCUGGCGAUAAAGGAGACCGACGGUUUUAUCUCCUACUCGCGACGAAAUUCUCAGCUCAUUCCCCGCCGAUUCCCCUCCGGUAGCUCCUCUCGAAUCUCCCACCUCAAUCUUCUCCGAUUCGAAUCUACAAACCGAGGAUUUCAUCCCUCUUCUCACCCGCAUCUCUCCCGAAGACGUCAGCAGAUUCUCAGGAGAUUCCCACUCCCGAAGCCGUCACCACAGUUCAAUCAAAAACGGCCCUAUGAAAAAGCAACCGUUGAACAUGCUCAUAAAAGACCUCGAAAUUCAAAAAGUUUUGACUGGGUCUGAUCUUCAUGAUCUCAUUGAAGCUGUAAUGAAGCAAUCAUAAUGGCCAAGAUUCCGGGCGAUUCUACUAAGAAUAAGUGUACGCUGUGCUGCUUUUUCUUCGUUGGCCUUUGAAACAGAGUCCUCAUCAUCAAAUAGAAUUGCGCGAGAAUAGCUAAGACCAGCUUUGCUACACUUGCAGAUUUUCAGAGAAGCAGCCCUUAUUCACACAUAAAACUUUUUAAGAUAGUGUUUAUAUGUUUUUUCUCUGAGCAAGCUUUUUGUAUUCAAACUCACCUUUGGUUGAUUCAAUAUCAUGUUGCAGUCG